UGUCUGUCCUGUCCCCAAGUAGAAGGUGAAGUGCUUGAGAUCAGAGAUCAUAUCUGCCUUGUUGGUGACCAUGGCCCAGAACCUGUGCCAAUUGGCAACCUUGAGAGAAGUUGCGGCUUUGGCAGGUGAAGUGACCUGCCCAGCAUCAUGCAGCUAGGCGGAAAUGGAGCCUGGAUUCAAACCAGCCUGCCUCCCAAGACCAUACUCUCAGUG